rnacentral:rRNA from 1 species
UACACACCGCCCGUCACACCAUGGAGUUGGUUUGACCUUAAGCCGGUGAGCCAACCUGGCAACAGGAGGCAGCCGUCACGGUCGGUUAGCGACUGGGGUGU